rnacentral:rRNA from 1 species
AGCGAACGCUGGCGGCAGGCCUAACACAUGCAAGUCGAACGAACUCUUCGGAGUUAGUGGCGGACGGGUGAGUAACACGUGGGAACGUGCCUUUAGGUUCGGAAUAACUCAGGGAAACUUGUGCUAAUACCGAAUGUGCCCUUCGGGGGAAAGAUUUAUCGCCUUUAGAGCGGCCCGCGUCUGAUUAGCUAGUUGGUGAGGUAAAGGCUCACCAAGGCGACGAUCAGUAGCUGGUCUGAGAGGAUGAUCAGCCACAUUGGGACUGAGACACGGCCCAAACUCCUACGGGAGGAAGCAGUGGGGAAUCUUGCGCAAUGGGCGAAAGCCUGACGCAGCCAUGCCGCGUGAAUGAUGAAGGUCUUAGGAUUGUAAAAUUCUUUCACCGGGGACGAUAAUGACGGUACCCGGAGAAGAAGCCCCGGCUAACUUCGUG